rnacentral:rRNA from 1 species
GAUGAACGCUAGCGGCAGGCUUAACACAUGCAAGUCGAGGGGUAGAAGUCUUCGGACUUUGAGACCGGCGCACGGGUGCGUAACGCGUAUGCAAUCUGCCUUGUACAAAGGGAUAGCCCAGAGAAAUUUGGAUUAAUACCUUAUAGUAUAUAGAUGUGGCAUCACAAUUAUAUUAAAGAUUUAUCGGUACAAGAUGAGCAUGCGUCCCAUUAGCUAGUUGGUAUGGUAACGGCAUACCAAGGCAAUGAUGGGUAGGGGUCCUGAGAGGGAGAUCCCCCACACUGGUACUGAGACACGGACCAGACUCCUACGGGAGGCAGCAGUGAGGAAUAUUGGUCAAUGGGCGCAAGCCUGAACCAGCCAUGCCGCGUGCAGGAUGAAGCAUCUAUGGUGUGUAAACUGCUUUUGUACGGGAAGAAACACCUCUUCGUGAAGAGGCUUGACGGUACCGUAAGAAUAAGGAUCGGCUGACUCCGUGCCAGCAGCCGCCGCCG